rnacentral:misc_RNA from 1 species
GAUGAAGGACGCAGCGAAAUGCGAUAAGUAAUGUGAAUUGCAGAAUUCAGUGAAUCAUCGAAUCUUUGAACGCACAUUGCGCCCUCUGGUAUUCCGGGGGGCAUGCCUGUUCGAGCGUCAUUAUAACCACUCAAGCUCUCGCUUGGUAUUGGGGUUCGCGGUUCCGCGGCCCCUAAAAUCAGUGGCGGUGCCUGUCGGCUCUACGCGUAGUAAUACUCCUCGCGAUUGAGUCCGGCAGGUCUACUUGCCAGCAACCCCCAAUUUUUACAGGUUGACCUCGGAUCAGGUAGGGAUACCCGCUGAACUUAAGCAUAUCAAUAAGCGGAGGA